CCAAACUAAAAAAUACAAGUUUUUACACAUUUCUGAAAACACCCCAAAAACAAAGGGUUUUUGGGGUGUUUUCAGAAAUGUGUAAAAACUUGUAUUUUUUAGUUUGGAGAUAAUUGAGUUGAUAUAGUAUUAACUCAAUUAUCUCCUAAACAGAGGGGAGGGAU